UAGGGAUUCGUGACUUAAGGAGCUUUGAGAUUCUAUAAUUUGUAUGACAUUUUUGUCAAACUCAAAAAGUUCAAGGGGGUGAGUUAGAAAAAAGAAAAGCUUAGAAGAGAGCAAAGAUAAGGAAGGAAGAAUGUGGGCCAUAACGUGCGCCUUCUCUGCUUAUCCUGCGCAUUCUGUUCAAACCUCCGUUUCAACCGCCACCGUUCGCUACACCCCUCGCCUCUCUAUUCCCGUCAAUCCAUUCGUUCCAGAGGUUGUAAAAGCCGUUGAUUCCUUGCAUUCAGAGUUCAGAGCCGUGGAUAAUUUGGUUGCACACAAUUCCACCCGUGUCCUUAAAGCUUUUCAUAAUGCUCGACUUGGUUCUCAUCACUUUGGUGGUUCCACUGGCUAUGGCCACGAUGAAGCUGGGGGACGUGAAGCUCUUGACCAGGCUUUUGCAGAAAUUGUUGGAGCGGAAUCGGCUAUUGUUCGUUCUCAGUUUUUCUCAGGUACUCAUGCCAUCACAUGUGCUUUAUUCGCCCUCUUGAGGCCAGGAGAUGAGCUUUUGGCAGUUGCUGGUGCUCCUUAUGACACUUUAGAGGAAGUAAUCGGGAAACGGGACUCUGGUGGUUUGGGUUCCCUCCAAGAUUUUGGGGUGAAAUACCGAGAAGUUCCGCUUGCUGAGGAUGGUGGACUUGACUGGAAUGCGCUGAUGAGUGCUGUUAAACCCGAAACAAAAUGUGCACUCAUACAGAGGUCAUGUGGUUAUUCUUGGCGUCAGAGUUUGAGUGUUAAUGACAUAGGGAGAGCGAUUCAAAUUAUUAAAAUGCAAAAUCCCGAGUGUUCAGUCAUGGUGGACAAUUGCUAUGGCGAACUUGUGGAAAGCAUUGAACCUCCCAUGGUGGGUGCAGAUUUGAUGGCGGGCAGUUUGAUCAAGAAUCCUGGUGGAACAAUUGCACCAUGUGGUGGAUAUGUUGCUGGGAAAAAGAAACUGGUUGAAGCAGCUGCAGCGCGUCUUUCUGCACCUGGGCUUGGUGUGGAUUGUGGUUCAACUCCCGGUGAUAUCAUGAGAGCCUUUUUCCAGGGAUUGUUUCUUUCACCUCAAAUGGUUGGGGAAGCAAUCAAGGGUUCCUUCCUGAUUGCUGAAGUUUUGGCAUCUAAAGGUUAUAAAGUGCAGCCACUCCCUCGUGUCCCUCGAAGUGACACUGUUCAGGCCGUACAGCUUGGAAGCCGUGAGCGUCUCCUCGCUUUCUGUGAGGCUGUUCAAAGAAGUUCUCCCGUGGGGUCAUACACCAAACCAAUUGCGGGUACCUCUCCUGGAUAUGCAUCCGAGGUGAUUUUUGCCGAUGGAACCUUCAUUGACGGGAGUACUAGUGAGCUUUCAUGUGAUGGACCUCUUAGAGAACCAUUUACUGUAUUUUGCCAGGGAGGCACUCAUUGGACUCAAUGGGGACUAGUCCUUGGAGAAGUUUUGAAAUCUAUAUGAUGGAAUCUAAAUUUCAGUAAGUUAAUACUAGUCCUUCGGAGGACAGCAUGAUUAAGAUUGGUACAAAUACAGUUAAGGCCAGGGUGGAAAAGAAUUGUUUACCGAAAACCGAACUAACUCUGUGACUAAAUCUGGUGCAGCAAGCCAAAUGAUGUAGAUUUUGAAAUUUUGGGUUGAUUUUUCAGGUAGCAAAGAACGUUGAAAAACUGAGGAGCAAAUUUAAAUUGCUUAUCUACUAUCCAAUGUUAGAGGUUAGUUUGUUGGUCAUAGUCGAGAGAAAUACUUAGAUAUACCUAUAUCCAUAUUUUUAGGAACGUAUCUAUAUACACAUUCUUAGAAACUACUAAUAAGGUGUUGUUGGAAUGCAGCUAUAUCCAUUUUUUUAGAAACAAUGUGUUGUUAUUUUGAAUCAGAAUUUUAAAUUUUUUUCUUAAAAAAAUUGUAAUCACGGAGUUGUGGUGAUAUUGAAGAAGAGAGAUAAAUUUAUUUUUA